GGCAGGGGUACCAAGAUCUGCCUUCACCUGAAGGAGGACCAACUUGAGUACCUUGAAGAGCGCAGGCUCAAGGAUUUGAUCAAGAAGCACUCCGAGUUCAUCAGCUACCCUAUUUCAUUGUGGAUUGAGAAGACCACUGAGAAGGAGAUCUCUGAUGAUGAGGAUGAAGAAGAAAAGAAGGAAGAGGAAGGAAAGGUGGAGGAAGUUGAUGAAGAGAAGGAAAAGGAGGAGAAGAAAAAGAAGAAAAUUCAGGAGAUUUCUCACGAAUGGUCUUUGGUGAACAAGCAAAAGCCUAUCUGGAUGAGGAAGCCAGAAGAGAUCAACAAGGAAGAGUACUCAGCAUUCUACAAGAGUCUUACCAAUGACUGGGAAGAGCACCUUUCUGUCAAGCACUUCUCAGUUGAGGGUCAGCUGGAAUUCAAGGCCAUCCUCUUUGUUCCCAAGAGG
rnacentral:lncRNA from 1 species